rnacentral:tRNA from 1 species
GGGCCUGUAGUUCAGUCUGGUUAGAAUGCUCGACUGAUAAUCGAGUGGUCCCAGGUUCAAAUCCUGGCAGGCCCA